AGGAAUCUUCUAGCUUGGAAGGAUGGAGGAGUGAACAAAGGGAAGGAGUACUGAAGUUACCCAGCCUGCUGACUAAGAAAUCUCCUGAAACAUGUCAAUGACUUAAUGUAUGGGGUCUACAACAGUUACCAGUGACCUAUUCUGCCACAUCCCAGUGAAACCCAAUUUAUCUGACCCAUCGCACGACUCUGGAAGAGGGCCACUACGCUCCAGAUCGCCUUCUGUGCUCAGAGGUCCUUGAUGACAACCUACCCCAUCGCACCACUCGUAUGAAUCACUAAUCAAAUAAAACAAUGGGCCUUUAUAU